AGUGAACGCUGGCGGUAGGCCUAACACAUGCAAGUCGAACGGCAGCACAGUAAGAGCUUGCUCUUACGGGUGGCGAGUGGCGGACGGGUGAGGAAUACAUCGGAAUCUACUUUUUCGUGGGGGAUAACGUAGGGAAACUUACGCUAAUACCGCAUACGACCUACGGGUGAAAGCAGGGGAUCUUCGGACCUUGCGCGAUUGAAUGAGCCGAUGUCGGAUUAGCUAGUUGGCCGGGUAAAGGCCCACCAAGGCGACGAUCCGUAGCUGGUCUGAGAGGAUGGUCAGCCACACUGGAGCUGAGACACGGACCAUACUACUACGGGAGGCAGCAGUGGGGAAUAUUGGACAAUGGGCGCGAGCAUGAUCCAGCCAUACCGAGUGGGUGAAGAAGGCCUUCGGGUUGUAAAGCCCUUUUGUUGGGAAAGAACAGCAGCAGGUUAAUACCCCGCUGUUCUGACGGUACCCAAAGAAUAAGCACCGGCUAACUUCGUG
rnacentral:rRNA from 1 species